rnacentral:rRNA from 1 species
AUUCCCCCAGUAGCGGCGAGCGAACGGGGAGCAGCCCAGAGUCUGAAUCAGCUUGUGUGUUAGUGGAACGGUCUGGAAAGUCCGACGGUACAGGGUGAUAGUCCCGUACACCAAAAUGCACAGGUUGUGAACUCGAAGAGUAGGGCGGGACACGUGGUAUCCUGUCUGAAUAUGGGGGGACCAUCCUCCAAGGCUAAAUACUCCUGACUGACCGAUAGUGAACCAGUACCGUGAGGGAAAGGCGAAAAGAACCCCGGCGAGGGGAGUGAAAAAGAACCUGAAACCGUGUACGUACAAGCAGUGGGAGCACCUUCGGGUGUGACUGCGUACCUUUUGUAUAAUGGGUCAGCGACUUAUAUUCUGUAGCAAGGUUAACCGUAUAGGGGAGCCGCAGGGAAACCGAGUCUUAACUGGGCGUUAAGUUGCAGGGUAUAGACCCGAAACCCGGUGAUCUAGCCAUGGGCAGGUUGAAGGUUGGGUAACACUAACUGGAGGACCGAACCGACUAAUGUUGAAAAAUUAGCGGAUGACUUGUGGCUGGGGGAUGCAAACUACGAAUACCGAAGAAUGUUAUCACGGGAGACACACGGCGGGUGCUAACGUCCGUCGUGAAGAGGGAAACAACCCAGACCGCCAGCUAAGGUCCCAAAGUCAUGGUUAAGUGGGAAACGAUGUGGGAAGGCACAGACAGCCAGGAUGUUGGCUUAGAAGCAGCCAUCAUUUAAAGAAAGCGUAAUAGCUCACUGGUCGAGUCGGCCUGCGCGGAAGAUGUAACGGGGCUAAACCAUGCACCGAAGCUGCGGCAGCGACACUAUGUGUUGUUGGGUAGGGGAGCGUUCUGUAAGCCUGCGAAGGUGUGCUGUGAGGCAUGCUGGAGGUAUCAGAAGUGCGAAUGCUGACAUAAGUAACGAUAAAGCGGGUGAAAAGCCCGCUCGCCGGAAGACCAAGGGUUCCUGUCCAACGUUAAUCGGGGCAGGGUGAGUCGACCCCUAAGGCGAGGCCGAAAGGCGUAGUCGAUGGGAAACAGGUUAAUAUUCCUGUACUUGGUGUUACUGCGAAGGGGGGACGGAGAAGGCUAUGUUAGCCGGGCGACGGUUGUCCCGGUUUAAGCAUGUAGGCUGGUUAUCCAGGCAAAUCCGGAUAAUCAAGGCUGAGGUGUGAUGACGAGGCACUACGGUGCUGAAGUAACAAAUGCCCUGCUUCCAGGAAAAGCCUCUAAGCAUCAGGUAACAUCAAAUCGUACCCCAAACCGACACAGGUGGUCAGGUAGAGAAUACCAAGGCGCUUGAGAGAACUCGGGUGAAGGAACUAGGCAAAAUGGUGCCGUAACUUCGGGAGAAGGCACGCUGGUGUGUAGGUGAAGUCCCUGCGGAUGGAGCUGAGACCAGUCGAAGAUACCAGCUGGCUGCAACUGUUUAUUAAAAACACAGCACUGUGCAAACACGAAAGUGGACGUAUACGGUGUGACGCCUGCCCGGUGCCGGAAGGUUAAUUGAUGGGGUUAUCCGUAAGGAGAAGCUCUUGAUCGAAGCCCCGGUAAACGGCGGCCGUAACUAUAACGGUCCUAAGGUAGCGAAAUUCCUUGUCGGGUAAGUUCCGACCUGCACGAAUGGCGUAAUGAUGGCCAGGCUGUCUCCACCCGAGACUCAGUGAAAUUGAACUCGCUGUGAAGAUGCAGUGUACCCGCGGCAAGACGGAAAGACCCCGUGCGGGGUUGCGGACAGUGUCUGGUGGGUAGUUUGACUGGGGCGGUCUCCUCCCAAAGCGUAACGGAGGAGCACGAAGGUUAGCUAAUCCUGGUCGGACAUCAGGAGGUUAGUGCAAUGGCAUAAGCUAGCUUGACUGCGAGCGUGACGGCGCGAGCAGGUGCGAAAGCAGGUCAUAGUGAUCCGGUGGUUCUGAAUGGAAGGGCCAUCGCUCAACGGAUAAAAGGUACUCCGGGGAUAACAGGCUGAUACCGCCCAAGAGUUCAUAUCGACGGCGGUGUUUGGCACCUCGAUGUCGGCUCAUCACAUCCUGGGGCUGAAGUAGGUCCCAAGGGUAUGGCUGUUCGCCAUUUAAAGUGGUACGCGAGCUGGGUUUAGAACGUCGUGAGACAGUUCGGUCCCUAUCUGCCGUGGGCGCUGGAGAAUUGAGGGGGGCUGCUCCUAGUACGAGAGGACCGGAGUGGACGCAUCACUGGUGUUCGGGUUGUCAUGCCAAUGGCACUGCCCGGUAGCUAAAUGCGGAAGAGAUAAGUGCUGAAAGCAUCUAAGCACGAAACUUGCCCCGAGAUGAGUUCUCCCUGAGACUUUAAGUCUCCUGAAGGAACGUUAAAGACGAUGACGUUGAUAGGCCGGGUGUGUAAGCGCAGCGAUGCGUUGAGCUAACCGGUACUAAUGAACCGUGAGGCUUAACCUU